GCCACUCGAAACUUUGCACACCUCUACGCGGUGAGCGGCAGGCAACACAGUAAAAGGUGCUGUGGCGAAGAUGCAGAU
rnacentral:ribozyme from 20 species